AACGAACGCUGGCGGCAGGCCUAACACAUGCAAGUCGAGCGAGGACUUCGGUCCUAGCGGCGGACGGGUGAGUAACGCGUGGGAACGUGCCCUUUGCUUCGGAAUAGCCCUGGGAAACUGGGAGUAAUACCGGAUGAGCCCUUCGGGGGAAAGAUUUAUCGGCGAAGGAUCGGCCCGCGUUGGAUUAGGUAGUUGGUGGGGUAAUGGCCUACCAAGCCGACGAUCCAUAGCUGGUUUGAGAGGAUGAUCAGCCACACUGGGACUGAGACACGGCCCAGACUCCUACGGGAGGCAGCAGUGGGGAAUCUUAGACAAUGGGGGAAACCCUGAUCUAGCCAUGCCGCGUGAACGAUGAAGGCCUUAGGGUUGUAAAGCUCUUUCAGCUGGGAAGAUAAUGACGGUACCAGCAGAAGAAGCCCCGGCUAACUCCGUG
rnacentral:rRNA from 1 species